GGGGGUAUAGCUCAGUUGGAUAGAGCAACGGCCUUCUAAGCCGUGGGUCGAGGGUUCGAAUCCUUCUACCCCCGCCA
rnacentral:tRNA from 6 species